GGCAGGGAGAGCUGCAGGAAACAGCUCCAGGGAGAAAGCUAGGUUGGGUGUGGCAGGAAACAGGAAGCCAGAUCAGGAAGGGGGCGUGGCUGGAAGUCGGCUUUAAGCCCUGUCAGCUCUGCACUGGGGUAUUCAAAGACAAGGCAGCAGAUGAUGAGGGGCUGCUUCUGAGUAUGGGAGCCAGGAGUUCUCCAGGGGAGGGAACUGGCUGGAUGUAGCAAGCCAGGAGGACAACUCAGACUCAAGCAGAUGACAGCUCCAGACAGUUGGGGAAGCAGAGAUCAGAAUGAUAUGGAUUAAAACUAAGUGCCUGCUCUUACUAUUUUGCUUUAAAAGGAUGCUUGGCCAGACUAGACAACUUUGAUGAUAAGAAUGUACUUACUUGUGGAUAACAAGUUUGCUAAACAGGUAAUGUUAAAGGUGGAAGAGCUGGAGGUAUGAAGGUGACAGACAGGAGUGCAACAGGAUACAAGAUCUAAGAGGUAUUGAGCGGGGGAGGCCAUGGAGAACUUUGAAGGCAAGGACAAGGAGCACGUGCUGUGUCCAGGAGCAGACUGUGAAGAGAUUUAAGGAGGAUGUGGUUGGGGUGACAAGGAGAGGUUAAUGAUUUUAGCAACAGAGUCCUAAAUGGAGGUGAUCCAACAGAAGGCCAAGCAGCAAGGAGAAGGAGUUGCAAGUAAGAGAGUAAUCUAUGAUGGAAGAGAAGAAUAUCCACUCUUCAGAGAACUGAAGCUGCUAACCUAGAAGUAGUGUGUAAUACAAUCUAAAAAUACCACAUGUAAAAACUUUACAAUGGUUUAAAUUCAACAUGUUUCACUUCCAUUCCACUGACAAGGAUGUCAUGUAUAUACUGCAGUG